AUACGAAGGGAGCAAGCGUUGUUCGGAAUUACUGGGCGUAAAGCGCGCGUAGGUGGUCAUGUAAGUCAGGGGUGAAAUCCCGGAGCUCAACUCCGGAACUGCCCUCAAAACUGGAUGACUAGAGUCCGGGAGAGGUUGGCGGAAUUCCUAGUGUAGAGGUGAAAUUCGUAGAUAUUAGGAAGAACACCAGUGGCGAAGGCGGCCAACUGGACCGGAACUGACGCUAAGGUGCGAAAGCGUGGGGAGCAAACAGGAUUAGAAACCCGAGUAGUCC
rnacentral:rRNA from 1 species